GACGAACGCUGGCGGCGUGCCUAAUACAUGCAAGUCGAACGCUUUGAUUUUCACCGGAGCUUGCUCCACCGAAAAUCAAAGAGUGGCGGACGGGUGAGUAACACGUGGGCAACCUGCCCAACAGAGGGGGAUAACACUUGGAAACAGGUGCUAAUACCGCAUAAUUUGUUUUUCCGCAUGGAAGAAUAAUAAAAGACGCUUCGGUGUCACUGUUGGAUGGGCCCGCGCUGCAUUAGUUAGUUGGUGGGGUAACGGCCUACCAAGACCAUGAUGCAUAGCCGACCUGAGAGGGUGAUCGGCCGCACUGGGACUGAGACACGGCCCAGACUCCUACGGGAGGCAGCAGUAGGGAAUCUUCGGCAAUGGACGAAAGUCUGACCGAGCAACGCCGCGUGAGUGAAGAAGGUUUUCGGAUCGUAAAACUCUGUUGUUAGAGAAGAACAAGUGAGAGAGUUACUGUUCUCACCUUGACGGUAUCUAACCAGAAAGCCACGGCUAACUACGUGCCAGCAGCCGCGGUAAUACGUAGGUGGCAAGCGUUGUCCGGAUUUAUUGGGCGUAAAGCGAGCGCAGGCGGUUUCUUAAGUCUGAUGUGAAAGCCCUCGGCUCAACCGAGGAAGGUCAUUGGAAACUGGGGAACUUGAGUGCAGAAGAGGAGAGUGGAAUUCCAUGUGUAGCGGUGAAAUGCGUAGAUAUAUGGAGGAACACCAGUGGCGAAGGCGACUCUCUGGUCUGUAACUGACGCUGAGGCUCGAAAGCGUGGGGAGCAAACAGG
rnacentral:rRNA from 1 species